AAAUUAACUAAAAAUUUUAUUCUUAUUUUCUUCUUUGCUUCUAACGCAAAUCCAUUGCGGCUGAUAUUUUCGAAGAAAAGUCGAUCUCAACAUUGACAACAAUUAAACAAAAAAUUCUUCAGAUUGUGAACGUGUUGAGGCUUUGCGAAAGGGAAGGACAUAAUCUUGAGGAUUUAUGACACAUGUUCACCAUUCGAGAUCGUCUGUGUUGAGAUCGAGUUGUGAUUAUAAUUUGGGCACGUAGAGAUUGUCCGUGUGAGUAAUUGAUUAUGAUUAUAAGUUGGGCACGUGGAGAUCGUCCGUGCUGGGGAUUAGUUGAUUAUAUGAUAGUGUGUUGAGAUCGUCCGCACAGACACAUGAAGAUCAUCUGCGUCAGUAUAUGGACCUCGCGAGUCCCCCAUGAGUCAUGAACUCUCGAUGUAUUUCUGAUGAGUAGCAUGUAUAUUUGGUGGUUGAAAGUUACUUGAUGUUUGAUUACCUGUAUUUGAUGAAACUUGACUGAUAAUUGUAAUAUAGACUUCUAUAAUUAAAGAAUUUAUUUUUCUUAUAUAAACUUCCGUCACUACUUCUUCGUUGUCGGUCAAUGUGAUAUCUGGGUACACGUGGUUUCGUACUCAUACUACACUUGCUGCACUCUUUUGUGGUGCAGAUUGGAUUUCAAUUUCAAGUGCAUAUCGUGGAUUUUUCAAA